CGUGAAUGAGAUUCAAUAUUUAAACAUUGAGUUGAUUAGUGGUUACUGGGACUUUAAAGAUGUAAAAAGUUUUUUUGUGGGGCAAAGUACUAAAAGCAAAGUAAUCAGUAGGGAAAUUGCUUUGACAUCCCUAGUGAAUUAUCGUCUUUUAAAAUGUUUCUCUUAAAUUGAUUUAUAAAAACAUUACUCAUUGUGUUUUAUACAUAUAUUUCUAUGCUAUACACAUUGGUGGUUUUAUUUUUAGCUUCAUUCCACCUUUCUGGGAGACAAACCACUCUGUAAAUCACUUACCCAUUUAUUGUGUUGCCUGUUAAAGGGACUCAAUGAAGUGGUGCCAUUUUAACCCUGCAUCUGAAACUGUUGCUGCUCUGCAGAAACAGCAAUGUUUUCAUUGCAGUGUCAACCUG